GUCUUCUGACACAGGCAUCUCACAACACCAGUGCAGCCGGACCGUUGUCUGAUCAAAGAAACUCUAGUAACGUGGAAAUUCAUGCUCCGAGUAGUGACAAGCCAGUGACUUUUUCUAUAGAAAGGGUACAAGACUCCAAUUUGAAAAUCUCAAGCAGCUUUAUAUUCAAGCAAGUUCAAUCCAAUCUCUUCCUGACUCACUGUCUCAUCAACAUGCAAAGCUCUCGAAGAGAAAUCAUCUCUUACUUGCCUGAGGGAGUUCUGGCAGACGUUUUGAAUGUGGAUGUGGAAGUUCUUUCCUCGUCUCCAUCCUGUCAAGAGCCGUGGAGCAAACAGCAGGAUGAGGAAGACAUGGAAGACAAAACUGAUAACGCACGUCACCUCGCUGCAGCGGGAGACAGAAUGUAACUUCAAUUCAGCCUCUUUGGGGUUUGGGUUCUGACCAAGUAAAUCGGGAAUGUUGUUAACAUAUCAAGCCAGCCUUUAUUGUUUGUCUUAACCCAAGAAAACACAAAAUGACACUUACUUUGUUGCUCAUUUAGGUUUUAACUUGUUGAUGUCCUCCCCACAAAAAUCAAACUUGAAAAUGCCUGGCAGGGACCCCUGAGAUCUAGGGUUUGAAAUGCUCUUUUGACAAGUUAAGAGGUUAAAAAGAAUUCAGGAACAUACUGUAGAGUCUCAUGGGGGAUUUUAGAAAAAAAAUAUGCAAAGCAUCUUUAAAUAUGUGGAAAAUCCUUAGGAGUGAAAUUGCACUGAAGUCAGAUUGUUUUCCUAUUGAGGUUGCAUUGCUCGGCUGCAAGAGGUGGGGUGGGCACAUCGUGGGGGGAGAGCAGAAGUGCCUGUUAGGGUGCUGCCAGACCUCAGUGUGGAAUUCUGCUUCUCACAGUUGGCCAUAAUCAAUCAAUCAGACUCUCUCUUUCUCCUCCCUUCUCCCUCUCCCUUUCUUUCCGUGGUUGAAGGGCCCCUCUUAAAUCGCUCUUGAGCCUGCAUUCUAAUUUGCUCUCUCUCCCACGUGAAAUCCACUUCUCCCAGCUAAGCUGCGUUUUGCAGCUUUAUGACGGUACUGAAAGCACUUUAUUUCCACUUAAAGAGCUGCCUGUUCUAUUUACCAUCACUCUCGGGGUACUUAACCUCAUUUAAAAGGCUAACUUUUCUCCUGCAUUAUAAAGUUGCUCGGGAGUCUCAAAGCCUCUUUCUCUGCCCAGCCCGCAGCCAGCCCUCUCCAGCCACCCCAGCCUCGCCCUCACCCCUCCCAGCCUCUGUUCCAAGGCCCAGGCGCGCCCGCGUGGGGCACGUGUCCCUGAACGCCCCGCCUCCGGCCAGCCUGACCGCUCAGUGCUCGGUGUCACUUCUGGCACGUCUCCACAUUCCUCAAAUCCCAGAGAGGACCUCGAAAUAGGAUAGAAAACAAGAAUUUAAAUAAGAAGCAACAGGGCUGCCCGCUCUGGCUGGGGAGGGCCUCGGCCCCCGCCUGCACCUGCGGCCCUUGUUUCUUGCGCGGUUUUGCAACGUCAGAGCCGUCCACACUCGCAGGCCAUUUUUAGCGGCCUGUUGGAAAGGGAAGACGAUGAAGUCGGGCUAAGCAGGGCAACGCCUUGCCCUCUGAGAGGCGUGGAGGGCCCUUGGGAAGCUCAGAGAGCUACGAUAAAAUGGCUAAACGACCUUCCUCUCCUCCAAGUCACCAAAUACGAGGCAGGAGAGGUGCCCGAUGAGCUCCCAGUCAUGUGGUUCAGGGCGGGCUCUGGAAGACUCACAGAGGAGACUCCUCCGAGAAACCAAGAAGGUUUCUGUCCAAGUCGGGAUCUGCUCUGCUCAGGAUGCUCCUCCAACACACACAGUGAAAAACUGAGCACCUAGAGAGCAACACCAAAAACCCAUGGCCAAUAAUGGAGAGCCAAAUCAGGAGAGCAUUCAGCAAAGCAAUUCUUGCUGUAGAAGGAACAGCACAAAAAGCUGGAAGGAAACUGAGGCAUGCGUGAAAGAUAACUUGUCAGUGUUUGCAGUCUACUGAGAUCCCCGCUGCAAGAAAAGGCAGGAUUUCCACUUGCUUCUUGGCCCGCCUCUGUUGUCCAGAAUCCAGGACAGGUGACAAGAGAAGCAGAUGUGAUCUGCACAAGCUGGCUCAGCUGGGUUGGGAGUUGCUCUUCCUGGACAGGCCGGGAAGGGUGCUGGAGGGGAGGGAGGAGGAGAGAGGUUUUAGGGGAGGGGUGCUGAGCAGUCAGGUAGGUUUUCUGUGUGUGAGAAGAAAUGCUUGAACAUGGAAAUGAAAAGUUCUAACUGUAGGAUGGAGUUUACAGGCUCAACUCUAAGCUUUCAGAAAGCAUCUCUUGAAAAUAAAAUCUUGGAUGUUGUAGCAAGUGCUGUGUACAUGCUCUUCAGCUCCUAGCCCCAUCCUACUACUGUGAAAGUGCAUGCCUGUAAACUGCCACCCUCCAGCAUCUUUUUCUGGCCAUUAGAGCCUGAUUUUCCUGAAGAUUCAGCAGGUUGGAAUGCCAGAGAAGUAAUGCCCUACCUGCACCCAGCAGUGUUCCACCAGUGGCUAUGGGAGUGGCUCACACACUCCAGCUACCUUCCUUCAUGGGACUGGAACCUGGAGUUCCCAAGAGGGAUUAGGCUCUAGUUGUCCAUGGGGCAGCUGUUUUACUGUCACCUUCCCUGUCCUGUCUCUCUUCCUGUCUCCACUCCCUACAGUGCUCCCAGAGAUAACUUCCCAAAUUUGCUGCCUGCCCUUGGAUGUUAUUUUAGGGUUGGCUUCUGAAGGAACAUAAACGAAGACAGACAGAUGUGCUGGGUAGCUAUGUGUAAGAUCACACUGAAACAUAGCCAAGAACAAGGCACUCAGCCACUCCCAGGUUUAAAAUCAAGUUUCCUACUUUGUCUCUCUGGUCUGAAUCUGAGUGAAAGCCCAGGCUCCUGCGUCACCUGGGCCACCUAAGGAUCUCCCUCCAGCCUCUGGGUGCUGAAGCUCCACCUGCCCUCACCACAUCACAGGAAACCGCGAGCACAUCCUCCUGCCUUCUCCAGCAGUCUCUUCAGUGAGCGCCUGCAGAACUGCAUCUAGAGCACCGGGCCAAUAUUGUCACCUUCCCUGUCAUGGCUUCCUUCCUGUCUCCACUCCCUACAGUACUCCUGAGAGCCGGGAGCACUCCCUGGAGCACUCCCUGAUUCGUUUUAUCUUCUGCACAACUGUUUGGCUGGAAUAGGAAGCAAAUGGCAUGGAAUUUGCAUAUGAAAAGCCAUUCCCACCUGUGUCCUUGUGUCUGUAAGGAUAGGAGGAUCCAAUCUUCUUAUCUGACCAGCCCUGUCAACACCUUCAUCUUGUUUCACAUUUGUGAAGGUCGGGGAGGCAUCUGGAGCUUCUUGAUGUGUCAGCUCGGAAUGCUGCCUGUGGGCUGGGUCGGCUUCAGGCCUGCAGGUCAAGAGAGAAGCACAGACAAAGGCACCACAGAGAUGCACAGUGACACUCAAAGAGGCAGCGAGACAGAGAUGAAGGCGUCGUGCUGUGAGAGCCAUCGCCCGGCAGCAUCCCCUCUCCUGGGUGUGAAUUAUGUCCUCCAAGGGCCUCAGCCACUGCAGCUUGAAAGUUACUUUUAUGCUAUUUCCUUAAAACCAACAAGAACACUUGACAUUUCUAGGAGGCUUUGAGUAGAGAACACUGGUGGUUCUCGUUGGUUGUGUAACUCUGCCAGGAAUUUAGAAUAUUGUUAGAAUCUUUAUUACAUUUCAGCCUGAUAAGGAGAUGAAAUAGCUAAUGAAUCCACUAAAAAAACUGCCAAGUAGCAAAGCUGGAAACUUUGGCCUUUGGUUGUCGUAUAAUAACACACCCCAGGCACAGAAGGUUUAGCACAUUUUUCCUUACUAAAACACAAAACAACAACACCAAUAACCCAAUGAGGAGUCUUCAACUCCUCCCACCCCAUAGCCCUGGGC
rnacentral:lncRNA from 1 species